rnacentral:rRNA from 1 species
AUUGAACGCUAGCGGCAGGCCUAACACAUGCAAGUCGAGCGAGCGGCGGACGGGUGAGUAAUGUAUGGGGACUGCCCGAUAGCGGGGGAUCACUACUGGAAACGGUGGCUAAUACCCCAUACUAUCGGAUAACCCAUAUGGGAUUAGCUAGUAGGGGGGGUAAAGGCUCACCUAGGCGACGAUCUCUAGCUGGUCUGAGAGGAUGAUCAGACACACUGGGACUUAGACACGGCCCAGACUCCUACGGAGGCAGCAGUGGGGAAUAUUUCACAAUGGGCGCAAGCCUGAUGCAGACAGGCCGCGUGGAUGAAGAAGGCCGUAGGGUUGUAAAGUACUUUCAGCGGGGAGGCGUUACCCGCAGAAGAAGCACCGGCUAACUCCGUGCCAGCAGCCGCGGUAAUAC